rnacentral:rRNA from 1 species
CAGCAGCCGCGGUAAUACGUAGGACGCAAGCGUUAUCCGGAUUUACUGGGCGUAAAGCGCUUGUAGGCGGAGGGGAAAGUUGGGCGUGAAAGCUCCGGGCUCAACCGGGAGAGGACGUUCAAUACUAUCAUACUAGAGGGCAUUAGAGGAGCGUGGAAUUUCUGGUGUAGCGGUAAAAUGCGCAGAUAUCGGAAGGAACACCAGUGGCGAAGGCGGCUCUCUGGGAUGCAACUGACGCUAAGAGACGAAAGCUAGGGGAGCGAACAGGAUUAGAGACCCUGGUAGUCCUAGCCGUAAACGAUGGAUGCUAGGUUUAUGGUCUGAAAAGACCGUGUGCCGUAGUUAACGCGUUAAGCAUCCCGCCUGGGGAGUACGGUCGCAAGGCUAAAACUCAAAGGAAUUGACGGGGACCCGCACAAGCGGUGGAGCGUGUGGUUUAAUUCGAUGCUACUCGAAGAACCUUACCUGGGUUUGACAUGCUAGUGGUAGUGAAGCGAAAGCUGAGCGACCCUUCGGGGAGCUUGCACAGGUGCUGCAUGGCUGUCGUCAGCUCGUGCCGUGAGGUGUCGGGUUAAGUCCCGUAACGAGCGCAACCCCUGUCCUUAGUUAUACGUGUCUAGGGAGACUGCC